rnacentral:rRNA from 1 species
GACGAACGCUGGCGGCGCGCCUAACACAUGCAAGUCGAACGAGCGAGAGAGAGCUUGCUUUCUCGAGCGAGUGGCGAACGGGUGAGUAACGCGUGAGGAACCUGCCUCAAAGAGGGGGACAACAGUUGGAAACGACUGCUAAUACCGCAUAAGCCCACGGCUCGGCAUCGAGCAGGGGGAAAAGGAGCAAUCCGCUUUGAGAUGGCCUCGCGUCCGAUUAGCUAGUUGGUGAGGUAACGGCCCACCAAGGCGACGAGCGGUAGCCGGACUGAGAGGUUGAACGGCCACAUUGGGACUGAGACACGGCCCAGACUCCUACGGGAGGCAGCAGUGUGGAAUAUUGCACGAUGGGGGAAACCCUGAUGCAGCGACGCCGCGUGGAGGAGGAAGGUCGUCGGAUUGUAAACUCCUGUUGUUGGGGAAGAUAAUGACGGUACCCAACAAGGAAGUGACGGCUAACUACGUG